rnacentral:rRNA from 1 species
UACGAAGGGGGCUAGCGUUGCUCGGAAUCACUGGGCGUAAAGGGCGCGUAGGCGGCCUGCUAAGUCGAACGUGAAAUCCCUGGGCUCAACCCAGGAACUGCGUCCGAUACUGGUUGGCUUGAAUCCGGGAGAGGGAUGUGGAAUUCCAGGUGUAGCGGUGAAAUGCGUAGAUAUCUGGAGGAACACCGGUGGCGAAGGCGACAUCCUGGACCGGCAUUGACGCUGAGGCGCGAAAGCCAGGGGAGCAAACGGG